rnacentral:rRNA from 1 species
CGCGGCCUAUCAGCUUGUUGGUGAGGUAACGGCUCACCAAGGCAUCGACGGGUAGCUGGUCUGAGAGGACGAUCAGCCACACUGGGACUGAGACACGGCCCAGACUCCUACGGGAGGCAGCAGUAGGGAAUCUUGCGCAAUGGGGGCAACCCUGACGCAGCAACGCCGCGUGUGGGAUGACGGCUUUCGGGUUGUAAACCACUUUCAGUGAUGACGAAAAUGACGGUAAUCACAGAAGAAGGUCCGGCCAACUACGUGCCAGCAGCCGCGGUAACACGUAGGGACCGAGCGUUGUCUGGAUUUAUUGGGCGUAAAGAGCUCGUAGGCGGUUCUGUAAGUCGGAUGUGAAAACUCAGGGCUCAACCCUGAGACGCCAUCCGAUACUGCAGUGACUAGAGUCCGGUAGAGGAAGAUGGAAUUCCUGGUGUAGCGGUGGAAUGCGCAGAUAUCAGGAGGAACACCAACGGCGAAGGCAGUCUUCUGGGCCGGUACUGACGCUGAGGAGCGAAAGCAUGGGGAGCAAACAGGAUUAGAUACCCUGGUAGUCCAUGCCGUAAACGUUGGGCACUAGGUGUGGGGUCUUCUAACGGAUUCCGUGCCGUAGCUAACGCAUUAAGUGCCCCGCCUGGGGAGUACGG